rnacentral:rRNA from 1 species
AGCUGUGAUGGGGAGAAGACAUUGUGUCUUCGAGUCGUUGAUUUCACACUGCCGAGAAAAGCCUCUAGAUAGAAAAUAGGUGCCCGUACCGCAAACCGACACAGGUAGUCAAGAUGAGAAUUCUAAGGUGAGCGAGCGAACUCUCGUUAAGGAACUCGGCAAAAUGACCCCGUAACUUCGGGAGAAGGGGUGCUCUUUAGGGUUAACGCCCAGAAGAGCCGCAGUGAAUAGGCCCAAGCGACUGUUUAUCAAAAACACAGGUCUCUGCUAAACCGUAAGGUGAUGUAUAGGGGCUGACGCCUGCCCGGUGCUGGAAGGUUAAG